UACGAAGGGGGCUAGCGUUGCUCGGAAUCACUGGGCGUAAAGGGUGCGUAGGCGGGUCUUUAAGUCAGGGGUGAAAUCCUGGAGCUCAACUCCAGAACUGCCUUCGAUACUGGGAGUCUCGAGUUCGGGAGAGGUGAGUGGAACUGCGAGUGUAGAGGUGAAAUUCGUAGAUAUUCGCAAGAACACCAGUGGCGAAGGCGGCUCACUGGCCCGAUACUGACGCUGAGGUGCGAAAGCGUGGGGAGCAAACAGG
rnacentral:rRNA from 1 species